rnacentral:miRNA from 1 species
UGGGUCAGACGAAACAUCUCAG